rnacentral:rRNA from 1 species
AUUGAACGCUGGCGGCAUGCUUUACACAUGCAAGUCGAACGGCAGCGCGGGCUUCGGCCUGGCGGCGAGUGGCGAACGGGUGAGUAAUACAUCGGAACGUGCCCAGUAGUGGGGGAUAGCUCGGCGAAAGCCGGAUUAAUACCGCAUACGACCUGAGGGUGAAAGCGGGGGAUCUUCGGACCUCGCUCUAUUGGAGCGGCCGAUGGCAGAUUAGCUAGUUGGUGGGGUAAAGGCCUACCAAGGCGACGAUCUGUAGCUGGUCUGAGAGGACGACCAGCCAAACUGGGACUGAGACACGGCCCAGACUCCUAAGGGAGGCAGCAGUGGGGAAUUUUGGACAAUGGGCGAAAGCCUGAUCCAGCAAUGCCGCGUGUGUGAUGAAGGCCCUCGGGUUGUAAAGCACUUUUGGCGGGAACGAAAAGGACUGUGCCAAUACCACGGUUCGAUGACGGUACCCGCAGAAUAAGCACCGGCUAACUACGUG